GCUGGUGAUUUAUCGCCGGGGCCACACCUGUUCUCAUUCCGAACACAGAAGUUAAGCCCGGCUGAGGCGAUGGUACUCGAAAGGGGAGAGUAGCUCGUCGCCAGCA
rnacentral:rRNA from 1 species